rnacentral:lncRNA from 1 species
AAACACCGAGCUCCCCCUGAGCCGCCUGGGAGCAGGGAGGGUUCUGCUACCCUGAGGGGCCCUCCCCGCGGGGCAGAGGGGACCAGCCCAACAUGGCUUCCAACACAGAGACCAGAAGGACCCAAUAAGAGACCGAAGACACGACUGAUAAUACAGAAAGGAGGGUGAUGCUGUGUGCAAGGCAGAUACAAGAUGGUUUUUCCAUAAGAGGAAGUGAUCAUGGCAACCAUGACCUUCUCUGACCUUCUCUCUUCCAAGAGGCUGUUGGGAAGGUGGGAUGACCUAGGAUUGACCUUGGACUUGACAUCACAGAAGCCAUUUCAACCUUCACAGGUGGGAGGAAGUCACAGCAUCUACUUCUGAAUCUGUGCUUGCCUUGAGGAAAAACGGCAUGGCACAGGAAUGUGGACGCUUUCAACCAGAGGAUUCUGUACGACGGUGUCGGCACACACUCAUCCUCGUCUACGGCCAAACGUUGGUUUCUCAUUUCUAGAAGAUGAAAGAUGUGAUGACUCAGGAAAAACUGGAAUCUUAGUAACUGUGGUGGGCAUUGAGCCUUGCCGUCCACAAGAGAAAGCUUGCUGCUCGAGAUGUGAGUCUUCAGAUGUUCCUGCCGCCAUAUCUGACAGCUGCUGCCAAGAUUCCCUGGUGGGAUGGACUCUUAUACCUCAACAACCAGAAGCCCAAGUAAACUCUUCUAUAAAUUGAAUGACUCAUGCUUAAAAAAAAAAACAAAAAACAAACUAUCUUUA